CAAUCGAACCCGGAGAUAGCUGGUUCUCCUCGAAAUAGCUUUAGGGCUAGCCUCGUAUUAGUCUAGCGGAGGUAGAGCACUGAAUAUCCUAGGGGGCGUCAAAGCUUACCGAAGAUUAUCAAACUCCGAAUGCCGCAGAGAUGAUGUACGGGAGUCAGACUGCACGAGAUAAGUUGGGUAGUCAAAAGGGAAAGAGCCCAGACCAUCAGCUAAGGUCCCAAAGUGUGUGUUAAGUGGUAAAGGAUGUGGGAUUUCGAAGACAACUAGGAUGUUGGCUCAGAAGCAGCCAUACAUUCAAAGAGUGCGUAAUAGCUCACUAGUCGAGAGGUCCUGCGCCGAAAAUGUCCGGGGCUGAAACACAACACCGAAGCCGUGGACUCCGUAAGGAGUGGUAGAGGAGCAUUCUUAAAACCGACGAAGCUGUACCGGUAAGGAGCAGUGGAGGGAUAAGAAGAGAGAAUGCCGGAAUGAGUAGCGAGAGGAAGGUGGGAAUCCUUCCGGCCGAAUAUCUAAGGUUUCCAGAGUAAAGCUGAUCUGCUCUGGGUAAGUCGGGGCCUAAGGAGAGGUCGCAAGACGUAUCCGAUGGACAACAGGUUUAGAUUCCUGUACCGCAUAUAAACAGAACUGUGGGGACGCAUGUGGAAAGCAUAAGCCGGGAAUGGAAAGACCGGUACAAGCGGGGUAGGUGUGUGACAGGCAAAUCCGUCAUAUAAGCCGAAGACGUGAUGUGGAGCGAAAUUAAGUAGUGAAGUAUGUGAGCCAUGUGCCGAGAAAAGCCGCUAUUGUUUUAUAUGUGCCCGUACCGUAAACCGACACAGGUGGAUGAGGAGAGAAUCCUAAGGCCGACGGAAGAAGCAUUGUUAAGGAAUUCGGCAAAAUGACCCCGUAACUUCGGGAGAAGGGGUGCCCACUGAAUGGUGGGCCGCAGAGAAUAGGCUCAAGCAACUGUUUAGCAAAAACACAGGUCUAUGCGAAACCGAAAGGUGAGGUAUAUGGGCUGACGCCUGCCCGGUGCUGGAAGGUUAAGAGGAGAGGUUAGCGCAAGCGAAGCUUUGAAUUUAAGCCCCAGUAAACGGCGGCCGUAACUAUAACGGUCCUAAGGUAGCGAAAUUCCUUGUCGGGU
rnacentral:rRNA from 1 species